rnacentral:tRNA from 1 species
GCUCCCUUCGUCUAGUGGCCUAGGACAUCGCCCUCUCACGGCGGUAACGCGGAUUCGAAUUCCGCAGGGAGCGCCA